rnacentral:rRNA from 1 species
UUUCCAGACUCCUACGGGAGGCAGCAGUGGGGAAUAUUGCACAAUGGGGGGAACCCUGAUGCAGCGACGCCGCGUGGGCGAGGAAGUAUUUCGGUAUGUAAAGCCCUAUCGGCAGGGAAGAAGAAAUGACGGUACCUGAAUAAGAAGCACCGGCUAAAUACGUGCCAGCAGCCGCGGUAAUACGUAUGGUGCAAGCGUUAUCCGGAUUUAUUGGGUUUAAAGGGUGCGCAGGCGGCACGGCAAGCCGGCGGUCAAAUCGCGGGGCUCAACCCCGCCCAGCCGUCGGAACUGCCGGGCUAGAGUGGGCGAGAAGUGCGCGGAAUGCGUGGUGUAGCGGUGAAAUGCAUAGAUAUCACGCAGAACUCCGAUUGCGAAGGCAGCGCACCGGCGCCCUACUGACGCUCAGGCACGAAAGCGUGGGUAUCGAACAGGAUUAGAUACCCUGGUAC